AGGAAAGGAUUUAUUCCAGCUACAUAAAAUUGGAACGAUACAGAGAAGAUUAGCAUGGCCCCUGUGCAAGGAUGACAUGCAAAUUCGUGAAGUGUUCUAUAUUUGG
rfam:Chelonia mydas contig236477, whole genome shotgun sequence.